AGAGUGUUGAAUUCUUUGUUUUUUUGUUAUAUCUUGGGCUAGAGUGGAUAAAAAUCAAAACUUAGAAAAUGAGCUUGUAGCACAAAUGGAACUUAAUUUCGUGAAAAUGUCGAAAUUUGUAGGAAACGAAAAAUUAUCGUCCAGUACCGACAAAUUGUUCAAUUAAUAGAUUUUUCAGCCUAAAUGCUUAAUGAUGUUAAAAAGAAUAUGUGAAUAUUAGGACACACAUUUUUACUCAAAUUUUAUUUUCAAACAUAUCGCAAGCAAAGUAACUGAUGUUUUCUUUGUCUGUGCAUUCGACGCGUGAGCAGCCGUCGCGUUCGUCGUUUUUGGAACAUUGAAAAUCUCUACGACCUGUACCCGAGUCAUCUCAUUUUCGAGGAAUAGCUUUAAAGUCGCAUCCAUAUUCCCUCUAUCCAAUUUCCUCUUUUCUGCUUUGGAGUUUCGGACAUUUUUCUGCGAGGAAAGACAGAAGAAGGUUCAAACGAACGUUUUCUAAUUUACUAUCAGUUGCCAACAGAUUGAACUUGCAGAUGAAAAAGGUUUGGUUUGUACCGGUCGAUGGCUGAUCGGUUGGUACUGGACGAUAGUUGGAUAGUCGGCUGUGAACGACAAACUCAUGGAAACGUUUCAGACUAUGACAUAUAUGAUAUACAAAGAAAAUUGUAAAACUGGCGCUGGAAUUACACUUAAUAGGCUAGAUAUGAUGGUAUACACAAUAGAAAAAGAACAUCUACUUACCCGAGAAAUGAAAUAUCAAUUAAUUCUUAACACUUGGAACAUGGAAUAUGGAAAAAUUCGUUUAUGCGAAUAAAAGUGCACGUGAGAAAAGUUAGAAGGCUACCUUUGCUCAGAGAUACUCCUGAUGCUCUUCGGAGUCUCCGGUGGUCUUCGCUUCAGUGGUGGUGAAGCAGUUACAAAUCAUAUCGGCUAUCUGAAGACUCACAGGUGCUCGAGUCUCCUACGUGGUAUAAUGUCAUGUUGCUGCAUUCAGUCCCUGGGACAGAACAAAACGGAUAACAUCGGAUGAAUCAAUGUUGUGCACGAAUUGCAUUGACUCGAGAUAACAAGACCACGACCCCGUUGCCGGUGAUGAAGCCGUGUUCAAGAGGAGAGGAGAGUUUCCAAGGGUCCUUGUUAAGACUUUCGAGAACAGGGAUUUCGUCCUCUCGAACAGGAAAAUACUUAACGAGCAGUAUGCCGCAAACAUUUCGUUUACGCCCCAUUCGACGAAAGCAAACGCUCUGUACUUCUUUAAUUUUAUUUAAAUAUCGUCAGGAGACCUCUGCAUUCUAUAAGUAUGAAAGCUGCCAGUAAUCGCGUACUUUGACGAUUCUCAAUGGAUUUGUAUUUAAAUUUCGGUGAUGCAUAAUUAUUUCACCCUCGUUGUCGAUUCUUCCUUUUCUGUUUCCACCAAAAGCUGCAAAGGCCGCAGAAGCUCAAUUAUCCAAGAGCAUUAAUACGCUUUUGAUCAGACAUGCUAUCACCGAGUACAAAAUCCUGAAAACGCAUUACUCAUCCGAUAAAAGUAUAAAUACUCGUUAUCGAGAGAAUACGUGCAUAAAUACGAUACGAAAGCAUCAAUUCUCUUAUUUUUGUUCUUCUUAUCUCUGAUCUGUGCCUUUUCUAAAUGCACAGCGGGAUGUUCACGAUUCAUCGAAAGAUCGCGCGUCAACUCGAAACGUAUGGACGCGAAAAGCGUGCUCGUUUUUCCAUUAAAAUGGCCAUGGCGAUACGAGAACGUGUCCACUCCACGACAAUACCGGUCAUAGUUGAAUAGAGAGGAAGAGAGAAAGAGAGAGAGAGGUAAACAAAGUAGAGAGUGGAAAAAAGCAAUGAGCCUGAAUGACAGAGUGCGCGAGCCACUGCUCGUAUUAUCUGGAGAGGGAGAAAAAACAGUGCGAAGGUCUGCCGAGUCAUUGACCGCAUCCAACGAUAGUAACGAAAUGUUCCGGUGAUUCCGUGCUAAUUAAUUCGCGUUGCAUAGUUACGAUUGUACACGCUUCAAGUAGCCGCUGGCACUCGAGCUUGUGUCUAGCUUGAAAAGGCGUAGACGAGACACGUGGAACGUGUCGUCGCGUCGCGGCGUCGGUAGCAUUGUCGCCGAAGGAAGAGAACUCUUAACCUGCUCCGGGGUAGGGUAUGGCCCCUUGGCUCAUCCACGCAGCCAGCCUUUUUCUUCAAAGAACAAUUGAGCGCGCUUCUCUUCCGCUUCUUCGAAUCCCUUUCCGUUUCAAGCGUUUUCCAUCGCGAACCUUGUAACCCACGGGAACGACUAUUGUCUUCGAUCAGGGGAUCGUUGUGAAAUAGAAUUACAUAUUCUAUUUUCCGACCAGCGCGCUGCGGAAACGAGAAAGAUAGCCGGUAGGCGACUAGUUCCAAUCUAGAUGACUGGUCUGGCUCGCGUGAGAUAUCAAAAACUGUAAUAUAUUAUCAUUUUCAUGGAAUUAAUCGAGCGGUACUUGAAAUCACUUACUCAUUGAGUUCGAUCAGAUUAACUUUAUUUCUCAGGGUGUAAAGUACAAGUCCGAUCUUUAUUCUUUCUAGUGUAUCGAUGUGAAUUUUUAAUAGAUCUGAAAAUGUCUGGGAUAUUCGUGAACGAGCAUACUGUACUAUAAGAUCCUUCGUUGGAUCAAAUAGUUGAAGCUUGCUUCUUGAUAAAUAUAAACAUUUCUUUGGAAGAAAUUCAAACGCGAAGUUUAAUUCGACAUGCGACCUCGUUUAUUUACGAUAAACAUCUUGUUCGCAAUAAUUAUAAACAAAGUGUAUAUAAAAUACAAAACAACGAACAUUUUCGAAGCUUCUUCGCCUUGAAAAACGGAAAUACGCUCGAUACUCCCAAUGAAACGUUUCUGUUUUUGCGUAACGAAAUGCAAGGCGACUGCCAGAUAGUAUUAGUUGCCACGAUCAAUAAGCUCUGACGUCCCACAGUUACUUCUCUGUGAAGUGUUUCUUCUCUGUGAAGUGUUUACGCCGUUCGUGGUUACCGACUACGUCGAAUGCCUAUAAAUAAACUACUUGGCACACCGGUCAUUAUGCGGAUUGCCGAUAACUCUGUCUAAGGCUGGCGAAUAAUCAGGAAAUCGCGAUACGCCGUAGGAAUAAUUUCAGGUACAGAUAAACGGUGGCCUAUUGGCACGAUGUAUCGCUCGACCUAUUUUCCCCCGGGGAUUAACGCGACGAAUUGAACGCUCACGGGCUUCGUUUCGAGCUCAACAAUGCAGAUAUUUCGUAGUUGGCGAUCGUACGAGGUUUACCUUAAUCGUCGAGGAAGAUGAAUGGACUUGAUCGUCGUGGGACGCAAGGUCUUUGACCUUAACCGCAGGAAGAAAAAUAUUAGCAAACUAUGAUCCGUCGGAUAAUUACGUCUGUCCUUUGGUAUAACAGAGAUCACGAUAGGCCAGUUAGCACGACAAUGAUCAUUGACAGGCUGAAAUGUAUAUCACGCAUAUGAAACGCAUCGUGGCCUGCGCAGAAUCUCUGCAAGGAAAGUUGUUGCCCCGCUCGAGAUACAGGUUUUCUAUUAUUCAAUCGAUCUUUACGCAUUUCUGCGUUUAGUUAAUGGCACGUACUGGUUACGAAGGAGAAACGAGAAGUCGGAUCUGUCGAUUUAUUGAGCUACAAAAAGAGGAAUGAAUUCGUGGAAGCUAAUCCCGUGGCCGGUACCCGAUCGGAAAAAAUGAGUCUUUAGUCUUCUUUUACGUUAUACGUAUACUGGUUACUGCUACACGUAACGCAAAAGAAUAAUAGAAGUAUUUCGUUGAAUAUCAAGGAAAGGUAUAGAUAUGUAACUGGAAAGAGAAAGUUUAUUUAAACGCAUAGUACUCUGGUAAAAUCACCGAAUCGAUGGCAUAAUUGGACGUCGUACGAGACAUUGUACGUACCCAUCUUUGAUCCACGAUUCGAUUUAUAGAUAGGAUACUGUGAAAUAACUAUGAUGUUUGUACCAUGCGUGGGCGUUCCUCGCUCUUGGAAUUAAGAUGGAUCGAUAAGAUCGCGUAAAGUAAAAGCUUCGACAAAGCGUCGCAUUGUUUUGAUAACCGUUUGAUCUUCUGUCGCUUCGUAAACCAUCUCCGUCUAUGGACGAGCGAUAAAAGGCGUCAGUCGGACCACGCGACUUUCUCGUUGACCGACGAUGAGUCGCGAUUGAAGCUCUUUGUUCCGUAAUCCGCAUCAUUCGUCUCUCACCAGAGGACGAGUUUACCCAUUACACCGUCAGCGUGUACGAUCCGCGAUAGUACGACCUAGGGCAACAUUCCUGAGAAUUUGCGACUGUGCGAGUAUUCUCGAUCCUCUAUCACGCCGGAUCCGUUUCUCGCGUACUACGAUACGAUUUCGAGCAAAACUCGCGCGAGGCUUUAUUCGAUAAGUACGUCGUCGUUGAAGAUUUUUUUAUCGCCAUUCGAGAGAUACGAUCGACUUAGGCGAGCACAAGUUGCAUAACGGUGUCUUAUGGAUACCGAUAAGGCUGAAAUAAACGCGGCGUUGUAAGAGCCGGCCAAUUGACACGAGGUUUAAUUAGAAAAUCGUGCGAGCGCGAUUUAUCUUUGGCGACCGGGACGAUUCGUCUUCGAUCAAGCGAGCACUUGUACGGACGCGAACGAUUUAUGGCGUCUAUUAAAAGCUCAAGAGCAGGGAUCUGUCAGUGCUGGAAAAAACGUGUGAAAAGUCCGUGGCUAGGAGUCAGCCUUGGAAAAUCGAGUAUGGAACUUACGCGCGCGUCAUUCGAGCGGAGUAGCGAACGAUCGCUAGGCUGGCGCGGAGGAACGACGUCGUACGUCCUCGGAAGGUCACACAAGAGAGAAAGGCCGGGAGGGAAGGAAAGUCGUUUGAAUUUCGGCGUUUGAGCGACGAGUGCACUCGCUCUCGUUCCCCGUACGGCGUUUCAAAGGAGAGAUUCAAGGGUACCUAAUUCUGGAGUAUUUUUUCGCGUCGUCGAGAAGGCCCUGUCCCGUUUCGCGAAAGCGAACGAUCUCCUAGGGUGGGGAACUGUAGCGUUCCGAACUUGUACUCUUUGGAACACUGUGAAAACUGAAUGUGAAUUUGAAGUCUACUUGGUUGCAAACGGCCGAGAACCACACUCCUCUGUGUGCCGGAGUCAAGCAUGCUAUUUUCGCGAGACAUCCGAACGCACAGAGUAGCGUGCAUCUCUGUGCAGAUUAUUCACGCUGGAUUGCAUUAAAGACAACGGCGCAUUCUCGGCGUUUCUAUCAUGCAACAGCCUCGUAUCGUGUAUCCGUCAACGGCUCUUGCGACUACCUUAGCAAUUAGUCUUUUCUAUGCUUCUCCUUUCUUUUCUUCUUCUUUUCUUUUUUUUAUUCUCGUUACGCGUGUGUACGUAUGCUUGCGCGCACAGGCGCAUCUAACUAAGUAUGCACCACCUUGAACAUGUUGCAUGCACCCGUAUGCACCGCACGAGCCAACGACACUAGACGCGUACGUACGCUCGCUGUUGGUUCAACGUUCCGUCUGCUUAUUAAAUGCAGCCACCGUGCUCUCGUGUUUCACUGGUUACUCGUUAGUACACACGAACGACGUGUUACGAACAUAGACGAAAGUGCGGGGUAUCCGUAUCUACCUUUACCAAAGAACAAGAGUACGUUAGCGGGCUAUUCGCAUCUGUUCGUCUUCGCUGACCACGUUGUAUUGUUUUCCUUUGGUUCGUUUUCUUCUGUUCGUUUGUCAGUGUGACUGCACAUUUCUGGCUGGGCAGUUCAAGCACGAAACUAAUUCUAUUUGCUAUCGCAUUUUAUUGUCGCUGGUAGAGUAGAUAGUAGGUUGUGUAGUUCAAAACUGAGAUUUCUAUUUGCAAAGUUGGCGAGACCAGUAUGUUUUUUUCGAACUGUCAGACAUCGUGAGACAGGGUGUAGCGAAACAUUUUGUCUCGCCUCGGAGCCACGCCCUAUUUAUAUAAUCCUCGAUUGCUCUUCGUCAAUAUUUGACCGACGUCCCACGGCGUAUAGUACUCGAAAACUCCAUCUAAACUUUAAAUCAUCGUACUCGAUCGUCUCGUUCGUCGAUGAUCUCUCGUCGUAUCGACGAUCCUGUUCGUUUCCUCCUAUGUUCAAACGUAUAUAUACCUAUUGGAGUAGUAUCGUGGGCGUACUCGUGUUUGUCGCGCGACAAAUUUCUCUGUCUGUUCCUCGCUGUCUGUCUGCUUGUCACCCCUAUCCUUUUUCCAUCGCCCUCGUUUCCCUGGCCCUCUCUGUUGCUCUUUGAAGUUGCGUGAGUAUAUACAGAGAAAUGCAGGAUCAAUAGGGUGGUGGAGGGUACGAAAGCACCCCAGCGCGAUUUCAUGACUCAUAAUACACACUUGUUCGAGUCCUGCAGCGUUUCGUUCUCGCUUUAUCUUGCACGUGUCUCUGGUUUCCAAACAAUUUUUAUAACAGGAAAUAUUUUCUAACUUUUGUUCCUUUAUUUUUUGAAUUACGAUAACGCGUGUCCGAGCUGGAAUAUCGAUUUUCCACGAUGCUCGUCUUCCCCACUUUUCCCACUGUCUCACGGCGAACAACGCUUUUUCAGCUCGCUCUCGCCGAAUUAAUUAACACCGACCUGCUCCUGGAAACUUUUUCAACCGGUCUUUCGGCGAGCCGCGUACUUUCGGUGCCCUCGACGCGAUCGCGUCCCCAUUUCACCGCAACGAAAAGAAAUUUUAGUUAAUCAAAGACUGCCCACUGGGCUAUGCGACUCUCCGAUCUACUCUCUGACUUGCACGUUUCACGGUUUGUCUUUGUACGCCGUAAUUUUCUGGAAAGUUUUAGAAACUACCUUCUUAACGUCUUUUAUUUCUUACUCUGUUCAAUUAAAGUCUUUGAAGUUGCAUGAUAAACCGGUUCUAACGAGCAAGGAUAUUUGUAUAGAAUAUGGUAGACAAGAAUCGGAAUUAUGCCUUGCUCUUGCGGUAGGGAAGAAACGUGAUUGCCUCCCAGAAAUCUUUCUUAACGACUUCCAAGUCGGAAAGAAUUGCUAAAAAGGAAAGAAAGAAAGAAACGCGUCUGUAGAUGCCGUGGUCGAAGGCAGUCGAAGGUGUCCCGAAUAUCGGGGACCAGUUCGACAGGCCGAAACUCGAAGCCUGAAGAUAUCGUAAAAGCAAGAAGAUAGAGGCAGGUAGAGCGAUGAUUGGAUAAAGGCAACUGCCAUACACGUUCAUAACGGAAAGGCCGAAUUUAUUUUCAGGGGAUCGUCUAACCGAUCUGGAUAGUCCACGUUUGGCAAGGUUAGGUCGACGUUGCAAGUGCUUGUCUUUGAAAAAGAUCGGACCUGAGGGGUGAGUCAUAGAGCGGCCGGACAUGGCGGUGCACGUUUUUCAUCUAUCGACCUGCGGUACAGAAAACGCAGGAUUGGUCGUGGGGAAACUCGGCUCAAGCCGCUUCGCCGGUGUACAACCGUGCGUAUACAUCGUGGGGAGGCUUUGCUCGCUGAAAAUCGAUUCUAGAUAAUGGGCUAUAAUUUCAUUCGCGUCCUACCGAAUGAAAAUCGAACAACUUGAACCGUAUUGAUGAAACUCUUCGAUCAACCGAAUUGGUUGUACGCUGUUCCAGCGAUUUUACGGAGUGUUCGCUCUCCUGUGUCCUGCGAGCUGAGAAUAAUUUUAUUUGAAACGAUAGUUAUAUAGAAAGUUGAUUUUAUUUUCAAGUCAAGCGUAAUUAGUCGACUAAUUUCAAACAUGUCGAGUUGUCUAAAGCUAAAUAGAUCCGGAGCGAUAGAUGUAUAAAUUCUUCUACGAUCUGCUCGUAUAUAUUUAAUAUGGCUACUCAGUCGCUCUUUGUAUCUCUCGAUCGAAGCAAUAUCCUGUUGUGAACGUAAGGUAUUCCGCUUGAACCGAUUUGCGUAAUAUUCGUGUUUUUCCCCAAUAAACGACGAGGCUUAGUUCGAUAAUUAUAAUUAGACCGCCGAUAUCGGAGGCGGUGCGGCGUGAAAAUAAAAUCAGUCGCUGGUCGAGAUAGAGCGAAGUGGCGCGAAUCGACGGGGAAAAGGAUAAAAUGAUAGGUUUUUCUGUUCCUGUACGUUCGAAAGUCCGAGUUCGACUAUCACCUGCGUUACUAGUUCUCCGUUAUUUAGUUGCAAAUUGCCCCGGUUACGACGUCGAUCGCGUACAGUUAUCACAAUGAGAAAGUCGCGAGCGAUUCGGGAAAAUUAUGUUUUACCUGGCGUAAUACCUGGUAAAUUAUUGGUGAAUCUCUACGAUCGAGUCUACGACAUAUGACUUAUUGUUAGGUAUCUGAUUCAAGCGUGUUCGGUACCAGAUACAGUAUCGUAUCACCGCUCGUCUGUAUAGCUACUCGGUACACGUAUCAUGUUAUACCUGCUACGAUUAGCUUGGUCUCCUGGAUAUUCCUGUUUACGACGACAAAACAAGUCUCGAAUCAAUAGCGCAAAGACUUUGUCUCUUCCUCCGCCACUUUGUAACUUUACAUUGUAUAUGUACUUUGGUUAACAUCUUAGGUGUUAUGGGCGGGCUGAAACGAUGGUUGACACGACGGAAUAAACAUUUACGUAGAGUAGCAUUUUAGAAUAUAAACUGAUCCUGUUCGAAUCUAGUCCGUGCGAUAUAUUGAAAAGCGACGCGACUUCAACCAUAACCACGUCGUGAGAGUAAGAAUGUUUAUACUAGAUUCGUAGAAUACACGUGCAGGUACGACCGCUCGUUGGAAGAACGUUUGCUGUGCGCGUGAAAUCACGAAGCAUGUACGGUACGACUGAGAAGCAGAGUCCAAUGUGAAUUGUUAAAGAGUUCAAGGUUUUAAAAGAAUCGAGUCGUGUUGAUCGUAGAGUUAAGUCAUUACUGCGUUAUUUCUGUUAUACCGUUAAAUAUAGUUUCUGUUAUACAUCGAACGAUUAAAAACAUGCUCACGAUCCAAUCUUUUUACGAUGUAUUCUAUUACAUAUCGUGACACGUUUAACAUCGAUUAAUUGCGUGAAACGUAUGAUUUGAUGACUCGCGGUUUUCCUCUACCUGUAUUUUCCAUAUCUUGUCACCAUCAACACGAUGUCAGUUAAUUACUUUAAUCAACUUUAAUGCAUGUACACCAGCCAGACGUGUACAUCCUGGACGUGUGACAUCGAUGCGUCACGAGAUCUUGUUCGUUUCUUUCCUUUUUUUGUCCUUUUAUGCAACUGGUUCGAGGUGGAUCUCGAAAAAGGAAAGAGCUGCCGAUCGUCGAUGUCUGCACACGUAGACGCGCGUCUUACGAUCUGUGCGUGGCCCUUGAAUGGCUACUUGUUGGAAAUGAAAGUAACGCGUUUCGAAUGCCGGAGCAUAGGCGACUCGAUCGGGCUUCCCUCCCGUCCCUUCCGCUCUUUUCCACUCUCUUUCUCCGAACACGAACGGAGUAAACGUUGCCGCCGUGCACCGUACAGCUCGAUCUGUCCUUAUGCCGCGACUAGCGUAAGUGUUGAAAGACAGGAUCGUCCUUGAACGAUAAAGCUUCCAUUCCGUAACUCGGUGCGCUACGGCGAAUGUCGUUUUCUUUCAUGUUCCCAGAACCUUGAGGAAUUCUCGGUGCUGUGGCGCUAUGCGGUUUAAUCGGUUUCGGGUCAUCACGCGAAGCGAAUACUUUUCAGAAGAGAACACGAUAUUCCACGGUAUGGAACCCGGUACCUUCCUCUCUACGUGAAUGAAUUAAACUUUCGAUUGAUGAGGCUUCUUGCGUGUAGCCGGUAAAAGAAGGGGUCGUAAAAUCGAAGUUACGUGUUUCGAGUGUCCGGCAUAAACGUUAGAGUUACGACGGUACCGAAUUUACGUUUAGAUACUCGUUGAAACGCGUAAAAUAGGAUAUUCAAUCUGGAUAUCCUUUAUAGGUGGCGCUAUACAACAUCUCGAAUAAUACGAUUUACGAUCUCGUUGUACAUAUUUCUUUCGUCGUUCGCAUUGAUCAUCGCGAGUCUACGUAAUACGUGCGCUUUCCAUUCACGAGGCUCGUUCAAAAUGUGAAUGAAAAUUCGUCGGCGGAAGAAAGAGCUGGUCGAGGCUGUACGGUAGCGGUACUGUUGCGAUUCAUAAGUCCGAUAAAACGGUCAGAACCUAUGGGUCCCUGGCCUGGUGGUGCCCGACCAGUUGGAAUCGCGGGUGUACGUUGCGGCAAUGGCAAGCAGAGUCCAGUUUCACUUUUCGUGCCGAGCCGCUAAACGGUCAGAAAUCUUUCCACCGGCAGACUUGCGAAAUCCCUCAUUGUCCUGAGGAGGGCAAUGCGUGUAUGUGUGUCAGGAGGUUUUCUCAGCCGUCGACCGUAAUGAAGACAUACACACGGAGCACUGUCUAGCGUGCACACUGCCGCCGUUCGACCAUAUCCCUGCGAAGAAAAAUUCUCUCUUUCUCCCUUUGCUGUUGGCAGACGACGUCGAGCCGUGGAGAAAUGUUCCGAUCUGCAGCGGCACUCGACAGUAAACUUUCCAACAGUUUCUGCUCGUGGCUCGCUACACAAAAACCCUAUUCUUCGGAUAAGAUGAUUGUCGAUACAUCCUCACAGAAUAUUUUCAGCCAGCCUAAGGACCCGUAAAAAUCCCGUAAAUCUUGGGAUUUAUUUAACUAAGAUUCUCCAAAGGGACAAAUCUAUCACCGACUACGGCAAGAUACGAGAAAUCCGAUUUUCUAACGUACGAUGCUUCCCGCUAGCAACUUUCUCUCAAGGGCAGUUAGCAUCCUUUUCCAACCACCGACACAAAAUUAGCCAUUAACAGCCACGUCCAUUUCCCUCACCUUCCGAACCAAAGCUUUCCUCGACGGAUCCGAUGAUCUCGCAUCCUUAGAUCGCAUCAUAGUUUUCCUCUGCAGCGUCAUCGUGACGGAAAGUCAGUCGUUACAGUCAGUUAGAGUCGUUACACAUCGGUCCGAGUCAAUAUUCGGUAGUUCGCAAUAAUUGAUCAGAGUUCCUCGGCAUCUUAAGCAAUCAUCGUCCGAACUUGUAACGCGCAUCAAAACGCAUCGACCAGAAGUCGAACUUGUAAUCACGAACCGCUAAUAGUAAUCGCGAGUUCUACGCAAAGUGUACAUAUAGAAUAUAUCAUAAUAAAUAUAUAUAUAUAUUGUUAAAUAUA